rnacentral:lncRNA from 1 species
CUGGUUCUGCUUUCUAGCUCUGGUAAUUAGCUGUUGUUUUGCUUGUCUAUAAGCCUGCUGUUUUUAUGCCUGUGUGACCGUUAUGCAUGUACUCUGGCAGGUCUACCUCCGUUUGUCUAGCAGGUUCAACGAUCUGCUAGGUUGCUGCAUCUGCAACUCUGUGCUGCUGUUCAGGGUUUGCUUUAUUCUUUCUUCCCUACAUGCUUGUUCUUUCUCGCUACACACAUGCUUCUCUUUCUCUAAGUACCGUAAUACUGCUGUGCUGUCUCUAGCUACAUGCAUUUACCUUUCUUUGUCGGUCUAAUUGUCUAUUGAUGGGCCAUGGUUAUGUGAACUUUAAGAUGUAAUAAUAUAUGGUGUUUAAAUUUGUAUUGUUCAUUAGCGCCUAUGAUUUUGCGCUAAAGAGUCGUCCGAUAUCCAAGUUUUUAUAUAUUUUUACACCAUUGCAGUCCAUAACUUGCUUCAAUCCUGUUACACAUUGGAUUGAAGAUAGGUCGUCCAUUUUUAUUGACUUUUUUUGUACAUUGUGAAGUCAUGGCCCCAGUUUAUAUUCAUGUUUAGUUUGCUGUGUAGUUCAUGUAUGCUCUGUAAAGAGCAUGUACAGCUAAUGGGUUUAAUUCGUUUGUUCCUUUUUUAGAUGUUCCGUAUCGGUGCAUAAUUCAACUUGAUCCAUACAGUGCCAGUGAUUUUGUAAGAUUUGCCCAUAUCUUUUGAGGAAAUAAUUAUGCUUCAGGAAGAUGCUAAAUAAGCUGGUCAGCUCUGCCUCUGGGGCAAAAGGUCAGCAAAUCUGCUUGGUUGUUCUUCCCAAGGUGAUGAGUAAUUGCUUGUUGCAGAGUACAUGCCUAGAAAGACAUAUCUUCCACUGUGAGUAUGUUAACUGCUUGUGAGCAGGCCACUGUUAACUGCUUGUGAGCAGGCCACUACUUUACAAAGUUUACUACAGCAGCAAGGACGCUAUGCUUUGAUUAGUUGAGCCGUCCUCUGUUAUUUCGUUCAUGGGCAGAGUGGGUGGAGGUGCAGCGCCUCAGCAUGUCAAGGUAUAGGGAUGGAACCUGAUCCUUAUUUCACAGUAUGUUUCUGUUCUUACGAUAAGUGACUCAUGUUUCUUCUGUUUAAUGCCAGGAUAAAGUUUGAUUUUCUCUGUACUACUCCAACUUGGUCCUAUCUCUAACUACAGAAAUUUUAUGUAUCGUUUUAAUUUAGAUUUAUUAUUAUUAGAAUUAGAUGGUGUGCAUUGAAUAUGAAAAUAGGGCCAAGUACUGCUUUGGCGUAUAUCCUAUUGAGUUUUCAUGGGACCUUGAAGCUCACGGUUGAUCUCUUUGUAGCUUAUAAAAGUUAGUUAUAUCAUUUUACUGGAUGUAUAAUCAGAAAGGUGGGCCAACAAACUGUAAUAUGUGACAUAAAAUAUGAUAAUGCAGGCUUCCUUUAUUUUCUUCCAUGGGCAGAGUGGGUGGAGGUACACAGCCUCAAGAUGUCAAGGAAUCUGAUCCUUAUUUGACAGUGAACUUAGAAGGGUUUUCCAUCUUAUAAUAUGAUAAUGCAGGCUUCCUUACCUUGACCAGAAUUUAGCAUUUUGGUAUUGCCUCCUUACCAUGCAAUGUAGGCUUCAGCACCACUUUUUAAAUAUAAGCCAUCAUUUGUGCUGGUCCUUAUCAAGCAGUUCCUUAUCAAAGGGGAUUUUGAUGUUCUCGCUGAAACAGAGGACUUGAAUUGAUGAUUUCUAGGAUUAGUAAACAUUAGCACAAUCCUGAUUAUCCAGUUGAGAAAUCUUAUAUUUUAAUUGCGAAAAGUAAUGUAGGCUGCAAGAGUUGUCUUUUAAGUAAUGCAAAUUCUUCUGUCAGUAGCUAAUGCUGUUUAGAAAUUUUGAUUUCCCAUUUUUUUGUAGCUCUCUUCAUUUUUGUCACUGGUUUACAUUUGUUUUAUAUCUUUCUCAUUCUGUUCAUAGCAUUUUGUCAUGUUUCUUCCUUUCUACAGAGCUAUUUUGAUGUGUCAAGAAUUUUGGCUAAUUGAUGGCUCAAAUGAUUGCAAGCAUAUGAUCUUGUCGGCUUGAGUGAUUGCAGGCAUAUCGACUACAGGAAAACGUAGCACAGAAGAUUCUUCCUUCCCUUUUUUGUUUUGGUGAAAUUGCAGUCAAGCUACUUACAUACGACUCUUAUCAGGGCAUUCGAGAAUUCUCAAAUUGGGUCUGCUUCUGUUUUAGCCUGAUUUAUGUUUCUACUGUAGGUGUUGCUCUAUGGCAGUACAUACUUUUUGCACUAUUGAAGAGAUAAGAACAGCGUGCUACCUAUUUAUGCUUUUAGUAUGGCUUGAUAGACCGAGGACCUAUUGUGGAACUGAUAUUGUUUUUUAAAUGUUGGAACAAAUGAUGGUUUGAUCUGUGUAUUUCUCAACAGGUGGAGAUCGAAUUUAAUAAUAUUGACAUGCCCCGGUGCUUUUU